rnacentral:lncRNA from 1 species
UAUCGAAUCCCAUCUCCUUAUCUCAUGGAUUCAUGUUGACCCUCAUCUUGGAGGCCCUGAAUUAUCCUAGUGCCUAGUAGCCUGUUGGACCAACCAUCCAAUUUACAGUCUUCUUUUCUUAUGAUUGCAUUUAUCAAAUUAAAAUUAAUUAUACUUUUAAUAUGUUAAAUAGGUUUAAUAAAUUUGUCUAGCAAAGUUUGAAGGGCU